rnacentral:rRNA from 1 species
UACGGGAGGCAGCAGUGGGGAAUAUUGGACAAUGGGCGGAAGCCUGAUCCAGCCAUGCCGCGUGUGUGAAGAAGGUCUUCGGAUUGUAAAGCACUUUAAGUUGGGAGGAAGGGCAGUAAGUUAAUACCUUGCUGUUUUGACGUUACCAACAGAAUAAGCACCGGCUAACUUCGUGCCAGCAGCCGCGGUAAU